CGCGCGCAGCGCUGGGGCGCUCCGCGCUCCCGGUCUCGGACUCUAGGCUCGCUCCAGUUUCCGCCUGGCUCCACCAACAAAAACCAACGCUCCCCCUGCCCCCCUCUUUCCUCCCCAGACCCGCGCUCCCCUCCGUGGCGUGCAACGCGUUCCUCGGCUCCUGCAGGCGGCGACCUCGGAAAGGCGGGGGCGUCUCGUCGCGAGGCAUUUGAGGCCAGGAUUUUUUGGUGCUCUCAUUGUUAGCUGACUGGUGAGGGUCUGGAUCUAGCAAUGGCGGAAAACACCCACGGUAGUGGUCGCCACGUGCUUGGGGACUUGACAAAUGUUAUUUGCAAGCGAGCAGCCACAUCAGAUCUGGAGAAGAGUACAGGUGGGAUAAAGAUCAGACGGAUUGAAAAGACUGGGACUAGGAAAGAGUACGAUGCAAAUGCAAAAGCUAGCAGUAUUGGGAAAGGAAUUGUAUUUGGCCAUUUGUUUGAUGAUGUUGCCAGAGAGAAAUUUCAAAGCCAUUCUAUCUUUCAGAAUAGUAGGGUUCAACACAUAGCUGCCGAAGCAGCUGGACUCUUAUCCAAGGAAGCCAAUGACUCGAAGAACCACUAUGCAUCAAUCGGUCCAUUAGAUCUCAGUGAUAAGGAGCAGGAUUCUUCACUUGAAUCUGAAGACGACUAUGAUGAUGAAGAUAAUGAUGAGACGAAUGGUGAAUUGCUGCACCAUUUUUUCAGCUCAGAGCUAGCUAAUAAAAUGUCAACAAAUGAUGGUGAGUGCUUGACUCAGGAGGAGAUAGUUGGGUCAUCUGGAAAUCAGAAACCUCUGUCUUCAUUGGAUGCUACGACAGGUGGUGACUUGCCAAUUUCUAGUGCUCAGCAUGCUUCUGUGAGAACUGGUGGUUUGGAAGAAGCUGUUGCCCCAAAAUCUUGUGCUUGUUCUUUCUGUCUCAAGGCUGCUUUUAUGUGGAUGGAUCUCCAUUAUCAGGAUGCAAGAAGCCGGCUUUCUGUAUUGAAGAAAAGCAUCAAGUUUGCCAGGUCAUUGGAGGAAAAAUGUAGAGGAAAUGAAUAUGCGGCCAAUGUAGCUGGAUAUGAAUCAAAGCGAGCUGUGGGAGUGGAGUUUGAACUAUCUCAACAACAGAGAUCACUCUUUCUUUAUACAGAAAAUGCCCUUGUCCGUGAGUCAACGCAGCUUUUGCCAUCAAUAUGCACCUGUGAUUAUAGCAUAAAACAAUGUGCGUGGCAGUCUGUUGAGCACACAUCUGCUUUCACAUGUUGAUAUGGUUUGAUUGCUAGAAGGAUCAUGGCUCUAAGAGAAUGAUCUGUAAUAAUUGGAAUUCAUGUAUUCUCUGCUUGUGGUGUUAAAUCAUUUAUCUGGGGGCUAAUACAACAACAAUGACAACAAAGCCUUUCAGUCCCAAACAAGUUGGGUUAGGCUAGAGUUGACACCCAAUAGAAAACACAAGUUGGCAUUCUGCUUUUGUGAAACUGAAAGAAUUGAGAGAGAACUGCAAGACAGAUCUUGAGACGCUCAGCAAUUCUUCAAUGAGAAAAUGAGUGCUGCAUGUUGCGUUGCUGAACUGUUAGUUUCCUGAGACUUAGUAUGAUCAGCUGGCUUGUCUUGAAGCAAGAUGUGCUGAGAUUGAACCACAACUUAGGAAUUAUGGUGCUUACCAUCAAUUUGGGACUUCAAUUUGGCUGUAGUGAUUAUUCCUAUCAUAAAGCGUUGGUCUAGUAUGCUUGUAGCUGAUGUAAAAAUAACCAUGGUAAGGUAGGAACUGUAUGUUUGUCUCGUUGAGGCAUCGUCAUCUUCACUUGUACCUUGCAGUGAGCUUCCUUCAUAUGAACAUUCUUUCCACGUUCUCCAAACAAAAGGGAAAACCAUAUCGUUUCGUGCU